GACGAACGCUGGCGGCGUGCUUAACACAUGCAAGUCGAACGGAAAGGCCCUGCUUUUGUGGGGUGCUCGAGUGGCGAACGGGUGAGUAACACGUGAGUAACCUGCCCUUGACUUUGGGAUAACUUCAGGAAACUGGGGCUCAUACCGCAUAUGAGCUCCUGCUGCAUGGUGGGGGUUGGAAAGUUUCGGCGGUUGGGGAUGGACUCGCGGCUUAUCAGCUUGUUGGUGGGGUAGUGGCUUACCAAGGCUUUGACGGGUAGCCGGCCUGAGAGGGUGACCGGCCACAUGGGGACUGAGAUACGGAGCAGAAUGCUACGGGAGGCAGCAGUGGGGAAUAUUGCACAGUGGGCGGAAGCCUGAUGCAGCAACGCCGCGUGCGGGAUGACGGCCUUCGGGGUGUAAACCGCUUUCGCAUGUGACGAAGAGUGAGUGACGGUAAUGGGUAAAGAAGCAACGGCUAACUACGUG
rnacentral:rRNA from 1 species